AGAUUCUGAAUUUUAAAAGCUGCUGAAUUUCUUACUUUGAAUUUUUUUUUGCAUCAAAAUUACGUAUGUGAAUUUUUUAUGCCUGAAUUUAGCUCAUCAAAAUUCUAAAAACCAGUUAAAAAUUCAAUGUCUUCAAAAUUCACCAUCAAAAAAUUCAAUGUUCAAAAUUCGCCAUCAAAAAAUUCAAUGUUCAAAAUUCGCCAUCAAAAAAUUCAAUGUUCAAAAUUCGCUGUCAAAAAAUUGGCUGUUCACAUCUGGGGGACUCAGGCGUAAACAAUCGAUCCUGGCCAAAAUCGAACCAACGCCCAGCCAAUCACGUGGCGCUCCUCCGGUCAUGUGACGCAGACGGUUCACCUCACAAGACCGGGGUCAACCACGGUUACCAGCAUGAACGACGGCGCUUCACAACACCGUCUGAACUGACCAGUCUGGUGAAAUUCUGGACUGGAUGGGAGACUCUACCAAGAACUCUCUCCACAGAAGUAGUGAAUGGCAGAUACCUGACAGCCUCCACCUGCUAUGAGACCUUACAUUCCCAGGACAUUACAAGGACUACACAUCAUUUAAGACUGACAUCCUGGCCUGUAUUUGCACUUGCCAGUCAAGAUAUGUUAGGUGUUGUUCUCUAGUUAGUUUUACUUGACUGACAAAACUAAGUGCACUUUUGGAUUCCCUCCCCUACCUGUUCUCCCAACUCACCUGACAGGUUAUCUGGCUCAAUAAGGCAGCAUCAGGAGACAAACAUGGAGGAAAUAUGAGAACAGAGAGAACCCAACCAGCAGGUCACAGUUUAUCAUCAUCUAAUCAUCUCCUGAAGUCCAUAUGGUAAGUGGACAUCAUGAUGAGAUCAGCUAGAUUUCCUACAGUAUAUGGCUGUGAAUUUACCAGAGGAUGCUUAUAAUAAUGCUGAUGUGGCCGUAGGCUCUACACU